UCACAUGAUAAUUUUCCUUAAUUCAGAACUUUUAUAUAUUAACAUCUAUAUUCAUACAUAUUUCGCCAAAUACGUACUUGUGACUCUUCAUGUAUGCAGACAUUCUCAUUCACUCUCUAACACAAACCCUAUUACAUAAGAACUAUUAGUCCAAAUCCUAAACUCAUUCUUAUUCCUAAAUGACACUGCAAACAUACCUACUGUCCCUGUUUCACUGGAUGUUGUUUUCUACAUUGAAGUAUCUGAGGUACGGGAUCCUCUGCCAUGGUGUAUUGAUGUCUAUAGUACUUCUGUGCAGAACCUAUUCAACACUUUUAUGUAUCCAAAUCAGAGGCCCAGUGCCCUUCUAUAUUUCAGAUCUUACCUAGUUUUCAAUUUUCAUGUGUACACUUCACCUAUACAUUCUUAUAAAUUCCCCAAUUUUGCAAAACCAAUAUUCACCCACCAGAAUGACUCCUAACCCAAAUCGACCAUGAUAUUAACCCUAACCAUACUCUGCUCCCUCAAUCUAAUUUCACACAAGAGCAGAAUCCCUGGAGAAGAUGUAAGCAGCUAUGUAAAACCUGAGAGACAUAAUGUCAUCUUCCACGGCAAAUAACCUGGGAUGUGUCUGAAUAAGCCUCUCUCAUCUCAAUGCAGGGAAAAUCGAUGCAACCAGGCCUGUGUGGAUAGCUG
rnacentral:lncRNA from 1 species